AACCAAAACUUCCUACAAAGAAAACUCCACAAGCCCUCAAGAUCUGUUUGCAGGAGGAUCUAGGAUAGUUGAGCUUUUAAGAUGGUAGGCACAUCCAAAUUAGGCACUGAGCGUGGCAGUCUACCUUUCUUU
rnacentral:snRNA from 1 species